rnacentral:snRNA from 1 species
GAUUUCUGCCCAGUGCUCU